CAUGGUUCAAGCCAUCAAAGUCUAUAUAUAUUGUUAGAUUUUUACACUCCAUCAGCCACCCUUACUUCGUUCCUAUGCGCAAGGAACCCCCCAUUUUAUCGCUAAUAUAAAUAUCAACUAACCUUACAACAUUGUUCUUUGGCAAUUUAUCCAAGAUAUUUGCCAAGAUAUCCCUCAUCAUAUUGCACAUUUGCCCAAGAUAAUCCUGAUGGUGUUGCACAUUUGCCCAAGAUAUCCACCAAGAAAAUGCACAUUUGCCCAAGUUAUCCCUCAUAGUAUUGCACAUUUGCCCAAGAUAUCCACCAUAACUCUUCGACGAUGUGGUAAGGUGGGGGUAAUUUCACAUUUGGCAUUGAAAAAAGGUUUGGGGUCCGAUCUUGAGGGGUCUAGUGCGUGGAUUUCACGCUUGAUGUCUUAUCCUAAGCUAGUCGAGUUUAUCUCACUCGCUCA
rnacentral:lncRNA from 1 species